rnacentral:tRNA from 2 species
GCGCCGCUGGCUCAACCAGGUAGAGCAACGGACUCUUAAUCCGUGGGUUCUGGGUUCGAUUCCCAGGCGGCGUA